AAUAAACGUUGAGAAUUAUCUUACACGAUUUUUUUUUUUUUUUAUAUAUCGAUUUUGUUUAAAGUUUUGGCUUUGUACAACGAAAAAAGUUUCCUUUGGAAUUGUAAACAAGCAUAUUUGACGCGUCAAUAUAUUUGUUUUGUUAAAAAUGAGUAGAAUGAAGAAAGAUGGGGUAAAAGAUAAUUUGCUUUAGGUUUUGGCAGGGUAGAGCAUAUUUAAGGAUUCAAAAUUGAAGUAUUAAUUCAACUACAAAGUAUUUUAAUAUACUUUAGUGAACGUAGGAAUAAAUCGUUUAAACGUCACGUAUCAAAGCACCAUGGUGGAGUAAAACAGUUUAACGUCACGUAUCAAAGCACUAUGGUGGAGAAACAGUUUGCACUUGAAGAGUAAAUAAAUAAAUAUAUUUUAAAGAUUGAUAAUUAAAUUCAA